rnacentral:misc_RNA from 1 species
UAACCGUAAGUGAACCUGCGGAAGGAUCAUUAACAAAUCAGUUGUAUGGCUUAGGCUAUACAUAUUCACCCCAAGCCUGCUUGUCAGGCUUUGGUAGGCUAGUGUGCUUCGGCGUACUGGCCACAUAGACGCUUGUAUUGUUUGACAGAGUUUAGUUGCAUCAAAAAAUGACAACUUUUAACAAUGGAUCUCUUGGCUCUU